rnacentral:rRNA from 1 species
GAGUUUGAUCCUGGCUCAGGAUUAACGCUGGCGGCAUGCCUAAUACAUGCAAAUCGAACGAAGCCUUUUAGGCUUAGUGGUGAACGGGUGAGUAACACGUAUCCAAUCUACCCUUAAGUUGGGGAUAACUAGUCGAAAGAUUAGCUAAUACCGAAUAAUAACAUUUGUUCGCAUGAACGAAUGUAGAAAGUUGCGCUUGCAACGCUUUUGGAUGAGGGUGCGACGUAUCAGAUAGUUGGUGAGGUAAUGGCUCACCAAGUCAAUGACGCGUAGCUGUACUGAGAGGUAGAACAGCCACAAUGGGACUGAGACACGGCCCAUACUCCUACGGGAGGCAGCAGUAGGGAAUUUUUCACAAUGGACGAAAGCCUUAUGAAGCAAUGCCGCGUGAACGACGAAGGUCUUAUAGAUUGUAAAGUUCUUUUAUUUGGGAAGAACCACUAAAAUAGGAAAUGAUUUUAGUUUGACUGUACCAUUUGAAUAAGUAUCGGCUAACUAUGUGCCAGCAGCCGCGGUAAUACAUAGGAUGCAAGCGUUAUCCGGAUUUACUGGGCGUAAAACGAGCGCAGGCGGGUCUGCAAGUUUGGUAUGAAAUCUAGAUGCUUAACGUCUAGCUGUAUCAAAAACUGCAAACCUAGAGUGUAGUAGGGAGUUGGGGAACUCCAUGUGGAGCGGUAAAAUGCGUAGAUAUAUGGAAGAACACCGGUGGCGAAGGCGCCAACUUAGACUAUCACUGACGCUUAGGCUCGAAAGUGUGGGGAGCAAAUAGGAUUAGAUACCCUAGUAGUCCACACCGUAAACGAUGAUCAUUAAAUGUCGGCCCGAAUGGGUCGGUGUUGUAGCUAACGCAUUAAAUGAUCUGCCUGGGUAGUACAUUCGCAAGAAUGAAACUCAAAGGAAUUGACGGGGACCCGCACAAGUGGUGGAGCAUGUUGCUUAAUUUGACAAUACACGUAGAACCUUACCUAGGUUUGACAUCUAUUGCAAUGCUAUAGAAAUAUAGCGGAGGUUAACAAUAUGACAGGUGGUGCAUGGUUGUCGUCAGCUCGUGUCGUGAGAUGUUGGGUUAAGUCCCGCAACGAGCGCAACCCCUUUCGUUAGUUACUUUAUCUAGCGAUACUGCUGCUGCAAAGCAGAGGAAGGUGGGGAUGACGUCAAAUCAUCAUGCCCCUUAUAUCUAGGGCUGCAAACGUGCUACAAUGGCUAAUACAAACUGUUGCAAACUCGUAAGAGUAAGCCAAUCAGAUAAAGUUAGUCUCAGUUCGGAUAGAGGGCUGCAAUUCGCCCUCUUGAAGUUGGAAUCACUAGUAAUCGCGAAUCAGACAUGUCGCGGUGAAUACGUUCUCGGGUCUUGUACACACCGCCCGUCAAACUAUGGGAGCUGGUAAUAUCUAAAACCGUAUUGCUAACCGCAAGGAGGCGUACGUCUAGGGUAGGAUCGGUGACUGGAGUUAAGUCGUAACAAGGUAAC